rnacentral:ncRNA from 1 species
AAGGAGUCUGACAUGUGUCCGAGUCAAUAGGCUAGAAAACCCGUAAGGCGCAAGGAAGCUGAUUGGCGGGAUCCCUCGCGGCUGCACCGUCGACCGACCUUGAUCUUUUGAGAAGGGUUCGAGUGAGAGCAUUCCUGUCAGGACCUGAAAGAUGGUGAACUAUGCCUAAGUGGGGCAAAGCCAGAGGAAACUCUAGUGGAGGCCCGCAGCGAUACUAAUGUCCAAAUCGUUCGUCUAACUUGGGUAUAGGGAUAAAAGACUAAUCGAACCGUCUAGUGUUACGGGGCUAGACCUU